GAUGAACGCUGGCGGCGUGCUUAACACAUGCAAGUCGAACGGAAAGGCCAGUGCUUGCCCUGGUGCUCGAGUGGCGAACGGGUGAGUAACACGUGGGUGAUCUGCCCUGCACUUUGGGAUAAGCCUGGGAAACUGGGUCUAAUACCAGAUAGGACCAUGCUUUGGAUGGUGUGGUGGAAAGUUUUUUCGGUGUGGGAUGAGCUUGCGGCCUAUCAGCUUGUUGGUGGGGUAAUGGCCUACCAAGGCGUCGACGGGUAGCCGGCCUGAGAGGGUGUACGGCCCCAUUGGGACUGAGAUACGGCCCAGCCUCCUCGGGGGGGCAGCGGUGGGGAAUUUUGCACAAUGGGGGCAAGCCUGAUGCAGCGACCCCGGGGGGGGGAUGACGGCCUUCGGUUUGUAACCUCCUUUCGAAACUGACAAACCUUUUUGUGCCGGUGGGUUGAAAAGAAGCCCCGGCUAACUCCGU
rnacentral:rRNA from 1 species